rnacentral:rRNA from 1 species
AUUGAACGCUGGCGGCAGGCCUAACACAUGCAAGUCGAACGAGUGGCGGACGGGUGAGUAAUGUCUGGGAAACUGCCCGAUGGAGAGGGAUAACUACUGGAAACGGUAGCUAAUACCGCAUACCCUCGGAUGUGCCCAUAUGGGGUUAGCUAGUAGGUGGGGUAACGGCGCACCUAGGCGACGAUCCCUAGCUGGUCUGAGAGGAUGACCGGCCACACUGGAACUGAGACACGGUCCAGACUCCUACGGGAGGCAGCAGUGGGGAAUAUUGCACAAUGGGCGCAAGCCUGAUGCAGCCAUGCCGCGUGUAUGAAGAAGGCCUUCGGGUUGUAAAGUACUUUCAGCGAGGAGGCGUUACUCGCAGAAGAAGCACCGGCUAACUCCGUGCCAGCCGCCGCGGUAAUAC